GCCAGUUUGGCUCAGUGGAUAGAGUGUUAGCCUGCGGACCAAGGGUCCUGGGUUCGAUUCCCUGCAAGGGCA
rnacentral:tRNA from 1 species